rnacentral:rRNA from 1 species
UACGGAGGAUCCGAGCGUUAUCCGGAUUUAUUGGGUUUAAAGUGUGCGUAGGUGGAUUGGUAAGUCAGUGGUGAAAGUUUGCAGCUUAACUGUAAAAUUGCCGUUGAAACUGCCGGUCUUGAGUGCAAAUGAGGUAGGCGGAAUGCGUCGUGUAGCGGUGAAAUGCUUAGAUAUGACGCAGAACUCCGAUUGCGAAGGCAGCUUACUGGGAUGCAACUGACGCUGAGGCACGAAAGCGUGGGUAUCAAACAGGAUUAGA